rnacentral:rRNA from 1 species
UGAAUGUCCUAGGGGGUAUUGCACUUACCGAAGACUAUCAAACUCCGAAUGCCGUUUUCUUUUACUUGGGAGUCAGACUGUGGGUGAUAAGAUUCAUAGUCAAAAGGGCAACAGCCCAGAUCGUCAGCUAAGGUCCCUAAAUGUACGUUAAGUGGUAAAGGAUGUGGGAUUGCACAGACAACCAGGAUGUUGGCUUAGAAGCAGCCACUCAUUUAAAGAGUGCGUAAUAGCUCACUGGUCGAGUGAUCCUGCGCCGAAAAUUUCCGGGGCUAAAACGUACUACCGAAGCUACGGCAUCAUUUAUGAUGGGUAGGGGAGCUUCGUAUGCAGGCUGAAGCAUGACCGUAAGGACAUGUGGACAGUAUACGAGUGAGAAUGUUGGCAUGAGUAGCGAGACGUGGGUGAGAAUCCCACGGGCCGUAAACCCAAGGUUUCCAGGGGAAGGUUCGUCCGCCCUGGGUUAGUCGGGACCUAAGCCGAGGCCGAAAGGCGUAGGUGAUGGACAACAGGUUGAUAUUCCUGUACCGCCAAUAAGCGUUUGAGAGAUGGAGUGACACAGUAGGAUAAGCUAACCGUACUGUUGGUUAUGUACGGCUAAGCAUUGAGGCAGUCUAAAUAGGCAAAUCCGUUUAGACAAUGCUAGGAUGUGAUGGGGAAGCCCUUCGGGGCGAAGUAGCUGAUUUCACACUGUCAAGAAAAGCUUCUAUCGAGUUUAAAGGCGCCCGUACCGUAAACCGACACAGGUGGGUGAGGAGAGUAUCCUAAGGCCAGCGAGAGAACUAUUGUUAAGGAACUCGGCAAAAUGACCCCGUAACUUAGGGAGAAGGGGUGCCUGUCUAUGACAGGCCGCAGAGAAUAGGCCCAAGCGACUGUUUACCAAAAACACAGGUUUCUGCUAAGUCGCAAGACGAUGUAUAGGAGCUGACGCCUGCCCGGUGCUGGAAGGUUAAGGGGAUCUGUUAGAGCAAUCGAAGCAGUGAACUUAAGCCCCAGUAAACGGCGGCCGUAACUAUAACGGUCCUAAGGUAGCGAAAUUCCUUGUCGGGUAAGUUCCGACCCGCACGAAAGGCGUAACGAUUUGGGCACUGUCUCAACAAUAGACUCGGUGAAAUUGUAAUCCCGGUGAAGAUGCCGGGUACCUGCGACAGGACGGAAAGACCCCAUGGAGCUUUACUGUAGCUUGACGUUGGGUCUUGGUACUACAUGUACAGGAUAGGUGGGAGACUAUGAAGCAUGGACGCCAGUCUGUGUGGAGUCAUCCUUGGGAUACCACCCUUGUAGUACUGGGAUCCUAACCAUAGGCCUUGAAUCAGGUCUUGGAACACCGUCAGGUGGGCAGUUUGACUGGGGCGGUCGCCUCCUAAAAAGUAACGGAGGCGCUCAAAGGUUUCCUCAGCACGGUCGGAAAUCGUGCGAAGAGUGUAAAGGCAAAAGGAAGCUUGAUUGCAAGACAUACAGGUCGAGCAAGGACGAAAGUCGGACUUAGUGAUCCGGUGGUACCGCAUGGAAGGGCCAUCGCUCAACGGAUAAAAGCUACCCUGGGGAUAACAGGCUUAUCUCCCCCAAGAGUCCACAUCGACGGGGAGGUUUGGCACCUCGAUGUCGGCUCAUCACAUCCUGGGGCUGUAGUAGGUCCCAAGGGUUGGGCUGUUCGCCCAUUAAAGUGGUACGCGAGCUGGGUUCAGAACGUCGUGAGACAGUUCGGUCCCUAUCCGUCGCAGGCGUAGGAAAUUUGAGAAGACCUGUCCUUAGUACGAGAGGACCGGGAUGGACGUACCUCUGGUGUACCAGUUGUUCUGCCAAGGGCAUGGCUGGGUAGCUAUGUACGGAAUGGAUAAGCGCUGAAAGCAUCUAAGCGCGAAGCCAACUUCAAGAUAAGAUUUCCCACCGUAAGGGUAAGACCCCAGGAAGACUACCUGGUUGAUAGGUCGAAGGUGUAAGUGCAGUAAUGUAUUUAGCUUAUCGAUACUAAUAGGUCGAGGACUUGACCAA